rnacentral:rRNA from 1 species
GUCCCAGCCGCCGCGGUAAUACGGAGGGUGCGAGCGUUAAUCGGAAUUACUGGGCGUAAAGCGCAUGCAGGUGGUUUGUUAAGUCAGAUGUGAAAGCCCGGGGCUCAACCUCGGAAUUGCAUUUGAAACUGGCAGACUAGAGUACUGUAGAGGGGGGUAGAAUUUCAGGUGUAGCGGUGAAAUGCGUAGAGAUCUGAAGGAAUACCGGUGGCGAAGGCGGCCCCCUGGACAGAUACUGACACUCAGAUGCGAAAGCGUGGGGAGCAAACAGGAUUAGAUACCCUGGUAGUCCACGCCGUAAACGAUGUCUACUUGGAGGUUGUGGCCUUGAGCCGUGGCUUUCGGAGCUAACGCGUUAAGUAGACCGCCUGGGGAGUACGGUCGCAAGAUUAAAACUCAAAUGAAUUGACGGGGGCCCGCACAAGCGGUGGAGCAUGUGGUUUAAUUCGAUGCAACGCGAAGAACCUUACCUACUCUUGACAUCCAGAGAACUUUCCAGAGAUGGAUUGGUGCCUUCGGGAACUCUGAGACAGGUGCUGCAUGGCUGUCGUCAGCUCGUGUUGUGAAAUGUUGGGUUAAGUCCCGCAACGAGCGCAACCCUUAUCCUUGUUUGCCAGCGAGUAAUGUCGGGAACUCCAGGGAGACUGCCGGUGAUAAACCGGAGGAAGGUGGGGACGACGUCAAGUCAUCAUGGCCCUUACGAGUAGGGCUACACACGUGCUACAAUGGCGCAUACAGAGGGCAGCCAACUUGCGAGAGUGAGCGAAUCCCAAAAAGUGCGUCGUAGUCCGGAUUGGAGUCUGCAACUCGACUCCAUGAAGUCGGAAUCGCUAGUAAUCGUGGAUCAGAAUGCCACGGUGAAUACGUUCCCGGGCCUUGUACACACCGCCCGUCACACCAUGGGAGUGGGCUGCAAAAGAAGUAGGUAGUUUAACCUUCGGGAGGACGCUUACCACUUUGUGGUUCAUGACUGGGGUGAAGUCGUAACAAGGUAAC